rnacentral:rRNA from 1 species
GGAGGGUGUAAGCGUUAUUCGGAAUUAUUGGGCGUAAAGAGCGCGUAGGCGGUUUUUAAGUCAGAUGUGAAAGCCCGAGGCUUAACCUCGGAAGUGCAUUUGAAACUAAGAGACUUGAGUAUGGGAGAGGGAAGUGGAAUUCCUGGUGUAGAGGUGAAAUUCGUAGAUAUCAGGAGGAACACCGGUGGCGAAGGCGACUUCCUGGACCAAUACUGGCGCUGAGGCGCGAAGGCGUGGGGAGCAAACAGGAUUAGAUACCCUGGGUAGUCCACGCAGUAAACGGUGAACACUAGGUGUAGCGGGUAUUGACCCCCCUGCUGUGCCGAAGUUAACGCAUUAAGUGUUCCGCCUGGGGAGUACGACCGCAAGGUUA